UGAUCUACUAUUGUUCCCAUACAAAAGUUGGUCAGUCUCUAUGACUUGCUGUUCCAUAUGGACGUUACGAAAUUUAUCUGUGAAAACUGUGUUAGGGAGUUACCCCUGGUGCCUAAUUUGACUUUUCAUAAUAAUACGGAAAUGCAAAUAACAUACGAAUAUAAUGCCGAAGAGUGCCCGUGGUAUUACUACGAUAGUUCGUAUAAAACACUGCUAGGAGCCUGUCUUAUUUGCCUAGGUGUAUUCGGGUUGCUGCUCAACAGUUGGCUGUUUGCCACCUUCAUGCACAGUCACCUACUUACUUCAAAAAGUCAUCUUUUAGUACUGAAUCUCUGUACAGCCUCUCUUGGGAGGAAUUUACUUGGAUUCCCAUUUGCGGCAUCGUCUGCGUUAGCAAAAAGAUGGCUAUUCGGCCCUGAUGCGUGUCAGCUUUUUGCUUUCCUAAACCAGUUCUAUGGUAUAUUUCAAAUGACGUCUUUGUUCUCGCUGGUUCUUGAAAGAUACAUACUUGCAAGGCAUACAAGACGAGAAAGAAGGCUAUGUUUUAGAUAUUAUUGGUCUUUAGUUGCUUUGACCUGGGUUAACAGUUUAGUAUUUGCGAUACCGCCUUUAUUCGGAUACGGAGUCUACUCGUGCGACACCACAGGAACAGCUUGUAUGUAUUUAUGGUCGUCUUCACGCGCAAGUGGAAAACAUUUGGGCUACGCGAUCCCGUAUGUUUUAUUUUGCUGCGUUCUACCUGUCGUUGGAAUAUUCUAUUAUAUGGGUAAAGCAAGCCGACUGGAAUGUAUUUAUUACAGAAAUGAAAUACUUCGAGAGGAAAAACAUUUGACGAAGUGUAUACACGCUCUAUGCGUCAUAACCUUGGCGUUAUGGAUCCCAGCAGCAUUAUUGGCUGGUAUUCAAUGGUUUCCUCUACUUGUAUUCGGUUAUCGACCCCAUGCCCCACCAGUUUUGGCUUUGAUUGCGCCCCUCACUUCUGAGGCAGCAACUUGUGUACCCGUCUUAAGCUACCUGUCAUCGGAUGCUCGGAUACGAGCAGCACUUUUGGGACGCAUGCGCAAAAACUACGCCCUUCUACCACCUCAGUACGCGAUGAGAUAUCGAAGGGACCAAGUUUGUUUUAAGACGCUUUAAGGUUUUAAAGCGAAAUGUGAAAUAAAAACGCAACGCGAAUCGGAAAACUUAUUAAAACAUAUGGUGUUCUAAAAACACUUUCAUAAUUGUCACUUAUUUAGCGCUAGUAAUGGUUAUUAAGAUGUUUGAAAAUGACUGGAACUUCUACAAAAUAUUGUUAAUAGCAUAACAUACCCCUUUGGUUUCAAGGAUAUAUCAGCACCGGGAACCAAUAUCUGAUAUAUUUAGCGACGAAAAGCAGCCACCAAAACAACUCUGCUUAAGGGACUAGUUAUAUAAAUUGACUUCAGUCGAC